UCUUCAUUUAACGUACUCUCUCACCGGUCAGAGUGACGAGAGAGUGUGUGAAAUGAAGAGA
rfam:Pristionchus pacificus strain PS312 contig13523, whole genome shotgun sequence.